rnacentral:lncRNA from 1 species
CUCGCUCUAUUUUAUCAGAUCAAUCGUUCGUUGCUCUUCUGGCCUCUUCUGUUUCCCUUCCUCUUCAGCUUUAUUUAUCGAGUUUGGUCCAAUCUCAAUUAAACGAUCGUCUCUUCUUUUCUUCUUCUUCUUCUCCUUCUCAUCUUCCUCCUCCUCAUCCAAAACCAUCUUUUUUUUAUCUCAUCCUUAAUUAAUUUCAAUUUCUUUUCCUGUCAUCCACUCGCAUCCCAAAUCUCUUCUUCUCUAUAUCUGAUUUAUACUAAACUUCUUUUGUAGGACAAAGAAUACAUCGAGAGAUUGCAAAAUGUGGAGUUUGGGGAUCGAUCAAUUUUUGUUGCUGAUGACGACGACGUUAAGGUACCAUCUCCAGCGGAACUACCAAGAGGACAGAGCGGUGGCUGCUCGGAGGAACAAACUACAACAGCGAAGCACAAUAAAAUGUAUUUCCAAGUGAAGCAAAACUUGGAAAAGCCAAGGUAAUAUCCCUGAACAUAAUAGAGAAAGUAAAAUCUUAUUUGGUGUAUUAUUUAUGAUUUGGCAGUUCUUGGAGAGGCCGACUCAGCUGUUAACUGCAGUCAGAAGUCGAGGUACAGAUCUGCAAGAGAUCAUACAUAUUACAAACAUGGUGAUUUUAAUUUUUAAGUGUACUCAGCUGUUUUCUUAAUUUUUACAUGAACUGUUCCAUUUACAGUCAAUAAAAUCAUCAUGUCUUUUACUGAAUAUUGUUGGGGUUUUUUUUCAUCACUUUUUUUCUCUUAAAUGUGAAAAUUUCUUAUGGGUUUAUUGGGGAUUUUAGAAAUUUGAGGUGGAGAUGGAAUUGGGAUGUUUGAUUGUAGUGUUCUAGACAAUUUGGAGUUCAGUUAAAUCAUAGAGCUAUAGUUCAUAGACUUCUGUUCAGUUCAUACCUAACAGCCAUAAGAAACCCAAGCAAUAAAAGAACUUUUCCAUUUUACAGUCAAUAAAAUCACUAUGUCUUUUACAUCAGAUCAAACCCUUAAUUUUGAAAAUCCCAUAAUGGUUUUCAAGAAGGUUUUAGCCAAGGCUCAGGCCUCAGGAGGGGUGCUGGUACUGUUGUUAGUAGAAGCAUUGGAAGGUUUAAAAUUGACAGAUUAUUGUUUUUUUUUGCAUAACCUUUUUCUCUUAAAUGUGAAAAUUUCUUAUGGGUUUAUUUGGGUUUACUCUGUUUUUAAAUCACGAGUUUUGUUUUACAACUUCAAUUUACCUGCGUGUUGACUAUAUCCUUUAAUGGAUUAUUCAUUUAUGUGUAUUUAUAUAUAAGUAUUGAUUUGGGAUGAAGCUCUUAUGAAUCACAAAUUUGUGUUUGAAUCAGUUGAUAGAAUAUCCAUUUUUUGAAUUGAAAAAACAUCACACCAUUUACGAGGCAUACCUCUCAUUCGUUAAGAGAUAAUAUCCAUUUUUUGAAUUCCUUGACCAAUUGUUUGUAAGUCAGUUAAGAGAAUAUCAUUGCUUUUUUUUUACAGAGGUGGAGAAAAUGAGGUAAACAAGGCAGCUGACAAAAGGAAUUAAUAACAAUGGAGCCAUCCAAGUUGACCAAUGAGCUGGUAAUUGAAUUUAAUGUCUUAAUGGAUAGUUACUAAUAACUUUGUGUUAUUUGUUGAGUUUGGGAUAUGAAUUUGAUGUAAAAUUUAAUUUUUGGGAUAUAAAGUUAAUAUAGAAUUUUGCAUGCUUGGAAUUUGGUACUGAUGGUGGACCUACAUGGUAACUUCCAAAGUAAUUGUUCUCCAAAAUUUUCUAACCUCUACGGUUGGUUUUGCACUAACUAUUGAUGUUGGACUUUUUGUUGUAGUUUCUUUGAAUAAAAAUUUUUUAGGAGAAAAAAUAGUGUGAAAGAGGACCUGGUCAUCAGACUGAUUAUAAAUCCGGGUCCCCCAAGAAUUUUUCUUUUGAUUUACAUUAAGAUAAAAAGGUAAAUUAAAUAUUUUACCCUCUCACCGAAUGAUGCGGUGGUGUUAAAAGGGAUUAAGAGGCUAUAUACUACGGUACUGCCCCUCUAAAUACAAAAAUAUAGUCACAGAGAUCACAACUACAAGAACCCUACCCUAAUCUCUUUUCCUCUCUAACCGUCUCUUUCGCUAUCCUCACUGCUCUCAAUUCAGCUUUUUAACAUGUGUUGGGUUUCAAGCCUUAAUCUCAUCUUUAAUUAUGCUUGGCCAAAGCCCAUUUGAUCUACACUUUUCAAUUUAUGUAAAGUGAUUAGAUUAUGAUCUUUGUUGAAACCAUCUACUACAUUGGUACUUAUAUCUAUUGAAGUGAUGGUACAUGAUGGGUUUUAUUUGGAAUGUUUAUUUUUGAUGUUUUCUUGGUUUUGUUGCUGAAAAUGGUGUUUAUGAUUAGAGAUUGGUUGAUAUGUGGUGUCCUCUAUAUUUUCGUUGGUGGAGUAUGGCAUUCAUUCUUAGAGGGUAAUUUGAGGCGAGUUAUUUGGUAAUUUUAGUAAAGAUUUCAACUUUAGCUUUGAGGAAACUGGAAAAAUGCUUCUAGAUUCUAUUUAUGGAUAAUUCUAUCAUCUGACAUUCUUGGAGGAUAAUUUGAGGUAUCAGUAAAGAUUGCAACUUUGGCUCUGAGAAUUAUGGGAAUGUCUUUAUUAGCUUCUAUUUAUGGAUAAUUCUACUGUAUGAUGCUCAUUGAUAAAUGUCAGGUUGAAAAAAAAGAGACAGAUUUGGAUUUUUUUGUUUGUUUGCGAAACUGCAGUUUCAUGUGUAGUUAGUGAAAAUGUUCCUUAAGAGUAUAAUUCAGGAUAUGAAGGGUGAGUUUGGGAGCAUUUCUAGGAAAGGGUUUGAUGUGAAAUUUGGUUAUGGGUUGAGGUCGAGGUCCCAGCGGUCGGUUCAGGACAGCUUGACGCCAGUUGAUGCUUUCAAGCAGAGUUGUUGGGCUAAUAUGCCCCCGGAGCUCUUGAGGGAUGUGUUAAUUUUGAUUUUGGUACAUUGCUUUAUUUAAUAGGGAUGAAGAACUCAAUUUCAAGGAAGUAAAUCCAAAACAAGACCAUCAGAUCAAAGAUUGCUUAAAUCAUUGGAAGAUAUAAUAUUGUAUUUUUAUGUGUUGUUUAAAUUUUAGGAUAUAAAAUGGGCUACUUUGGGUUUGUUAACGUUUGUAAUUGACUAAUAUUCAAUUUAAGAGAAUUUUGUUAUGAAUUCGCAGUGGGUAUGAAUUAUGAAUUAGUUAUAAAAAUCUCCAAAUGUGUAUUCAUCUCCGG